UGGCACAGGCUGCAGUUUGCAGUGACUGAGAUGUAUCCAGCUGGGUCUUUCUGCUAUCUUGACUGCUGUAGGCGUUGUCAGCAGCACUUGGUAGGGCCC